CUUAUGCGUUGUUGGGUAGGGGAGCGUUCUGUAAGCCUGUGAAGGUGUACUGUGAGGUAUGCUGGAGGUAUCAGAAGUGCGAAUGCUGACAUAAGUAACGAUAAAGCGGGUGAAAAGCCCGCUCGCCGGAAGACCAAGGGUUCCUGUCCAACGUUAAUCGGGGCAGGGUGAGUCGACCCCUAAGGCGAGGCCGAAAGGCGUAGUCGAUGGGAAACAGGUUAAUAUUCCUGUACUUGGUGUUACUGCGAAGGGGGGACGGAGAAGGCUAUGUUGGCCGGGCGACGGUUGUCCCGGUUUAAGCGUGUAGGCUGGUUUUCCAGGCAAAUCCGGAAAAUCAAGGCUGAGGCGUGAUGACGAGGCACUACGGUGCUGAAGCAACAAAUGCCCUGCUUCCAGGAAAAGCCUCUAAGCAUCAGGUAACAUUAAAUCGUACCCCAAACCGACACAGGUGGUCAGGUAGAGAAUACCAAGGCGCUUGAGAGAACUCGGGUGAAGGAACUAGGCAAAAUGGUGCCGUAACUUCGGGAGAAGGCACGCUGAUAUGUAGGUGAAGCGACUUGCUCGUGGAGCUGAAAUCAGUCGAAGAUACCAGCUGGCUGCAACUGUUUAUUAAAAACACAGCACUGUGCAAACACGAAAGUGGACGUAUACGGUGUGACGCCUGCCCGGUGCCGGAAGGUUAAUUGAUGGGGUUAGCGGUAACGCGAAGCUCUUGAUCGAAGCCCCGGUAAACGGCGGCCGUAACUAUAACGGUCCUAAGGUAGCGAAAUUCCUUGUCGGGUAAGUUCCGACCUGCACGAAUGGCGUAAUGAUGGCCAGGCUGUCUCCACCCGAGACUCAGUGAAAUUGAACUCGCUGUGAAGAUGCAGUGUACCCGCGGCAAGACGGAAAGACCCCGUGAACCUUUACUAUAGCUUGACACUGAACAUUGAGCCUUGAUGUGUAGGAUAGGUGGGAGGCUUUGAAGUGUGGACGCCAGUCUGCAUGGAGCCGGCCUUGAAAUACCACCCUUUAAUGUUUGAUGUUCUAACGUUGGCCCCUGACCGGGGUUGCGGACAGUGUCUGGUGGGUAGUUUGACUGGGGCGGUCUCCUCCUAAAGAGUAACGGAGGAGCACGAAGGUUGGCUAAUCCUGGUCGGACAUCAGGAGGUUAGUGCAAUGGCAUAAGCCAGCUUGACUGCGAGCGUGACGGCGCGAGCAGGUGCGAAAGCAGGUCAUAGUGAUCCGGUGGUUCUGAAUGGAAGGGCCAUCGCUCAACGGAUAAAAGGUACUCCGGGGAUAACAGGCUGAUACCGCCCAAGAGUUCAUAUCGACGGCGGUGUUUGGCACCUCGAUGUCGGCUCAUCACAUCCUGGGGCUGAAGUAGGUCCCAAGGGUAUGGCUGUUCGCCAUUUAAAGUGGUACGCGAGCUGGGUUUAGAACGUCGUGAGACAGUUCGGUCCCUAUCUGCCGUGGGCGCUGGAGAACUGAGGGGGGCUGCUCCUAGUACGAGAGGACCGGAGUGGACGCAUCACUGGUGUUCGGGUUGUCAUGCCAAUGGCACUGCCCGGUAGCUAAAUGCGGAAGAGAUAAGUGCUGAAAGCAUCUAAGCACGAAACUUGC
rnacentral:rRNA from 1 species